AUGUAAAAAUAAAAUAAAACAAAAUGUUAUGUGGGCUGUGAUGAAGCUUUUACAAAGAAAAAGAGUUUAGGUGGAGACCGGAGACGAUUGCCACCGAACUCAUCCUUGUUAUGCUCUUUUUUCAGAUUCAGAAUUUUGAUUGUACUUUCAAUCAGCUCAAUUUCUCAGAUUUACGCCGAAAUUAGGGUUUCUGAUUGUAGCGCUAUUAAAUUAUUCUUUGCUUUGAAUUUACUCAAUCAAUUGAUUGUUUGUUCGGUGCAGUUUUUAGAGGAAUUGGGAUUAUUGGUGAAAGAGGAUCGAAAAAGUCAUGUUCUAUGGAACGGCAGUGUGGGAUCCAUGGCUUAUUGUUGCGCAGAUCGUGUGUUUUCAAUGUCUAUAUUAUUUGACGCUGGGGAUAUUCAUGACAAUUCUUGUUGGAACUCGUGUUUCACGAAUUAGUCUGGUAUAUUUCUUUGAUUAUGCUACUGUUACUGCUUCCACCGUCACUGGAUGGUGCGUCAUUGCCUCAUUUAUUCUCAGUUCACUAGCAGGAGCUGGCUUUUUGCUUUAUUUGAUUGAGAGGGCAAAGAAGUGCUUAGAUUUUUCAGCAACACUUUACAUCGUACAUCUUUUAAUAUGUAUUAUCUAUGGAGGCUGGCCUUCUUCAAUUACAUGGUGGGUUGUGAAUGUUACUGGGCUUGCGGUGAUGGCAUUGUUAGGUGAAUACUUGUGCAUAAGACGUGAAUUACGCGAAAUUCCAAUUCCGAAAUUCCGAUCAAGGUCAGUCAGUGAGGAGAAGGCAAACGAAGACAUGGAUGAGCAAAUCCCUUUGUAUCGUUUGGAUAAUAUGGCUUGAAAGAAAUUGUAGGUGCUUUAAGGGUAGGAGGAAACAUUACUUCUGUAAAAAAAUAGAUUUAUUCAGCAUCUUAAGAUUUGGUGUAAUGUCUUUUUUGAUGCUAUGCUGGAAUUCUGCUCCAGAUAUAAGGAAUCUAAUUCCAGUAAAUGUUUGACGGAGUUGAAGUGCAGCAGGAAGAACAAUUGUCUUAAUGAUGGUGCUCCCUGGUUUCCAAGGAGAUGAUCUUGGAUAAGCUUGUCAGCUUACAAGUCUGUCUUCUGAUAUGACAUCUAAAGCUUUCUAGAGGAGAUUUUAUUUCCUUUGCUGGCUGCAAUCAUGUCAAUUGUCUUUAGAGAUCGAAAAACAGAACAGGAAACAAGCUAAGCAGAGCUGUGCUUAGACAUUUUAUGUACAACUUGAAGAGUUUUAGAAUGACGUAGCAAAUUCUGAUGGGACGACAGUGUUUGGCAAGGUAUAUGUAGAUUUUAAGCAUUCAUAAUGCAUUUUGUUAUUCGAAGACUUUUUAAUCUGAAAUUGCAUGAUAAGUGUUGCAGUUUAGAUGCUGUAACUGAAAAUUGUUUGAUGCCACACCUAGAUUUGAUAUUGAUGAAGAGCAGUGAAGAGUAAUCUGCUGAUUAAUAGUUAA